UUCUAAGGAAACAAAUGCUGCAUAAUUUACAGUAUUACUAUUAUCCAGCAAAGAGCAAACUUUACAACCCUCUUACAUACUGAACCCAGAUAGCAAUACAGCAAUACUUCUUGAUAAGUAUGAUACAGACCCAGACCAGUUUCGUACGUAGUACAUGUACAUGCACUCUGUACAUACUGAACCCAGAUAGCGAUACAGCUAUACUUCUUGAUAAGUAUGAUACAGACCCAGACCAGUUUCGUAGGUAGUACAUGUACCUGCAUUGACCACUUUGCUGAAGGACCCCUGCAAGGAGAAUUGCCAUAGACUAAGCCAAAGCAUCCGAAGAACUCAGCCUCCAACUGAACCCAGUGACAUGCCUGAACAUUAAGAACCUAUGGAGGUGUGCGGUUG
rnacentral:lncRNA from 1 species